AAAUUGUUAUCAAGGCCUGUCUACGUGUUCACAAAGGUGUAAGUGAAAUAGACAUCGAGGAACAAAUUGCAGAGUAUUUGAAGCAUGCUCCACAGAAAUCCGGUGGCUCUAGAUACAAGGAUCGUAGGAACCAGGAGCAAGGAAGUGCAUAACUUAUUUUAUGGUGUACAUUUUAUCUAAGGCCU